GCAUUGGUAGUCUAAUGGUUAAGCUGAAUGCUUUCCAAGCAAUAGACUCUGGUUCGAUUCUGGAUAGACGCA